rnacentral:rRNA from 1 species
CCUACGGGAGGCAGCAGUCGAGAAUCAUUCACAAUGGGGGAAACCCUGAUGGUGCGACGCCGCGUGGGGGAAUGAAGGUCUUCGGAUUGUAAACCCCUGUCAUGUGGGAGCAAAUUAAAAAGAUAGUACCACAAGAGGAAGAGACGGCUAACUCUGUGCCAGCAGCCGCGGUAAUACAGAGGUCUCAAGCGUUGUUCGGAAUCACUGGGCGUAAAGGGUGCGUAGGCUGUUUCGUAAGUCGUGUGUGAAAGGCGCGGGCUCAACCCGCGGACGGCACAUGAUACUGCGAGACUAGAGUAAUGGAGGGGGAACCGGAAUUCUCGGUGUAGCAGUGAAAUGCGUAGAUAUCGAGAGGAACACUCGUGGCGAAGGCGGGUUCCUGGACAUUAACUGACGCUGAGGUACGAAGGCGAGGGGAGCGAAAGGGAUUAGAUACCCUUGUAGUC